CCUGCCCUCUAGUGUACUUUCUCAUUUCUCAUCGUUCACGACCAACGUUCGCGCGCUCUUUAUCGCCGGUCCGCCAAAAGUACAAGCAUCAAAAAACGUAAUAAUACGUAGCAAUAAAAGGACUCAUGCAAAAGUUUGAAAGCCGCAAAAGAAAUGAUAUCCGAAUGCUUUAGAUUAAUUUUGCUGAAGACAACAAUUCUGUAUAAGGAUGAGGUCUAAGAGAGACAUAAAGCAUAGAUGGAAUAAUUUUUGGAUCUUUGUUGAAGAUAUUGACAAUCUUAGAGGAGGAGAAAAUCUUGGGAAAGGCAUAGAACGUAGAUGAAGCUGUUUUAAGAUAAUUUGAAUACAGAGGACAUUGACA